UGUCAAGGGGAAAGGCAAUUAUGCCAUACUGCAAGCAAAUGAGCUGUGAAGCUGGUCCAGAAAUAAAAAGGAAAAAAAAAUCAGUUUGAUGAGGCAGGAUACCAUGCUGUGGAGACCCAUUUGGCAAGAAACUAAAGGCAGCCACCAUCCAAAUGCUAGGAAAAAGCUACAGCUUUCUGUCUGAUGGCAAAGGAGACACUGAAUCCAGUCAACAAUAACAGGAGUUUGAUGGAAGAUCCAUUCCCCAGUGGAGCCUCAGAUAACACCUCAAGUCUGGCCAACAUUCUGACUGUAAACUUAUGAGAGACCCUGAAGCAGAGAAUUCAGCUAAUCCAUGCCUGGGUUUCUGACUCUCAAAAAUUCUGAGAUAAUAAAUGCAUGUUGUUUUAUGCCUUUAAGUUGUGGUAAUUUGUUAUGCAGCUGUAGAUGACAUGCAGAUUCAAGUAUCUGAAAAUGAGGGGCUGCUCUGAAAACACUACAAAUGUGGGAGUGGCUUUA
rnacentral:lncRNA from 1 species